rnacentral:tRNA from 2 species
GGUGGGAUUCCCGAGUGGUUAAAGGGAGCAGACUGUAAAUCUGUCGUCAUAGACUUCGAAGGUUCGAAUCCUUCUCCCACCA